GUGACUGCGUACCUUUUGUAUAAUGGGUCAGCGACUUAUAUUCUGUAGCAAGGUUAACCGAAUAGGGGAGCCGAAGGGAAACCGAGUCUUAACUGGGCGUUAAGUUGCAGGGUAUAGACCCGAAACCCGGUGAUCUAGCCAUGGGCAGGUUGAAGGUUGGGUAACACUAACUGGAGGACCGAACCGACUAAUGUUGAAAAAUUAGCGGAUGACUUGUGGCUGGGGGUGAAAGGCCAAUCAAACCGGGAGAUAGCUGGUUCUCCCCGAAAGCUAUUUAGGUAGCGCCUCGUGAAUUCAUCUCCGGGGGUAGAGCACUGUUUCGGCAAGGGGGUCAUCCCGACUUACCAACCCGAUGCAAACUGCGAAUACCGGAGAAUGUUAUCACGGGAGACACACGGCGGGUGCUAACGUCCGUCGUGAAGAGGGAAACAACCCAGACCGCCAGCUAAGGUCCCAAAGUCAUGGUUAAGUGGGAAACGAUGUGGGAAGGCCCAGACAGCCAGGAUGUUGGCUUAGAAGCAGCCAUCAUUUAAAGAAAGCGUAAUAGCUCACUGGUCGAGUCGGCCUGCGCGGAAGAUGUAACGGGGCUAAACCAUGCACCGAAGCUGCGGCAGCGACACUAUGUGUUGUUGGGUAGGGGAGCGUUCUGUAAGCCUGUGAAGGUGUGCUGUGAGGCAUGCUGGAGGUAUCAGAAGUGCGAAUGCUGACAUAAGUAACGAUAAAGCGGGUGAAAAGCCCGCUCGCCGGAAGACCAAGGGUUCCUGUCCAACGUUAAUCGGGGCAGGGUGAGUCGACCCCUAAGGCGAGGCCGAAAGGCGUAGUCGAUGGGAAACAGGUUAAUAUUCCUGUACUUGGUGUUACUGCGAAGGGGGGACGGAGAAGGCUAUGUUGGCCGGGCGACGGUUGUCCCGGUUUAAGCGUGUAGGCUGGUUUUCCAGGCAAAUCCGGAAAAUCAAGGCUGAGGCGUGAUGACGAGGCACUACGGUGCUGAAGUAACAAAUGCCCUGCUUCCAGGAAAAGCCUCUAAGCAUCAGGUAACAUCAAAUCGUACCCCAAACCGACACAGGUGGUCAGGUAGAGAAUACCAAGGCGCUUGAGAGAACUCGGGUGAAGGAACUAGGCAAAAUGGUGCCGUAACUUCGGGAGAAGGCACGCUGAUAUGUAGGUGAAGCGACUUGCUCGUGGAGCUGAAAUCAGUCGAAGAUACCAGCUGGCUGCAACUGUUUAUUAAAAACACAGCACUGUGCAAACACGAAAGUGGACGUAUACGGUGUGACGCCUGCCCGGUGCCGGAAGGUUAAUUGAUGGGGUCAGCGCAAGCGAAGCUCUUGAUCGAAGCCCCGGUAAACGGCGGCCGUAACUAUAACGGUCCUAAGGUAGCGAAAUUCCUUGUCGGGUAAGUUCCGACCUGCACGAAUGGCGUAAUGAUGGCCAGGCUGUCUCCACCCGAGACUCAGUGAAAUUGAACUCGCUGUGAAGAUGCAGUGUACCCGCGGCAAGACGGAAAGACCCCGUGAACCUUUACUAUAGCUUGACACUGAACAUUGAGCCUUGAUGUGUAGGAUAGGUGGGAGGCUUUGAAGUGUGGACGCCAGUCUGCAUGGAGCCGACCUUGAAAUACCACCCUUUAAUGUUUGAUGUUCUAACGUUGACCCGUGAUCCGGGUUGCGGACAGUGUCUGGUGGGUAGUUUGACUGGGGCGGUCUCCUCCUAAAGAGUAACGGAGGAGCACGAAGGUUGGCUAAUCCUGGUCGGACAUCAGGAGGUUAGUGCAAUGGCAUAAGCCAGCUUGACUGCGAGCGUGACGGCGCGAGCAGGUGCGAAAGCAGGUCAUAGUGAUCCGGUGGUUCUGAAUGGAAGGGCCAUCGCUCAACGGAUAAAAGGUACUCCGGGGAUAACAGGCUGAUACCGCCCAAGAGUUCAUAUCGACGGCGGUGUUUGGCACCUCGAUGUCGGCUCAUCACAUCCUGGGGCUGAAGUAGGUCCCAAGGGUAUGGCUGUUCGCCAUUUAAAGUGGUACGCGAGCUGGGUUUAGAACGUCGUGAGACAGUUCGGUCCCUAUCUGCCGUGGGCGCUGGAGAACUGAGGGGGGCUGCUCCUAGUACGAGAGGACCGGAGUGGACGCAUCACUGGUGUUCGGGUUGUCAUGCCAAUGGCACUGCCCGGUAGCUAAAUGCGGAAGAGAUAAGUGCUGAAAGCAUCUAAGCACGAAACUUGCCCCGAGAUGAGUUCUCCCUGACCCUUUAAGGGUCCUGAAGGAACGUUGAAGACGACGACGUUGAUAGGCCGGGUGUGUAAGCGCAGCGAUGCGUUGAGCUAACCGGUACUAAUGAACCGUGAGGCUUAACCUU
rnacentral:rRNA from 1 species